CUUUAUCAAAGAGUACUAGAGAGAUUGACCACAAGGAAGAUCUCUCGCUCAAUAUGCUCUUCACCCCGAAAGGUUCACUUGGGACGGUUAGCUCGGUAAAGCCUUUGAUACGCCCGGACUCGCUCAGAAGCAAUGGGCGGGAAUAGGCGAAGUUAACAUACUUGCUCAAUACGUUCAUUUAUUGCUAAACAAAAAUGACCUAGAUCGAAAUUUUUGGACUGGACCUUUCAUGGGUUGGGGUCUGACACCUCCAGAGCCGGGAACGGGCCAUAAAGAUAAAUUAUGUCUAAAAGGUUGAGGUACCUGGAUAUACUAAGUGGUAAUGCCCCAGAUCCAGUUAUCUAGCCUAACACGUCUUCUACACUAUUUAAAGAUUUGAAUUGGAAGUUGUGAUGCCUUAUUUCUAAGGUGCUUAAGGUAUACGAUGAGAAAGCUCUUCGAAUGAUGCAAGCAAUGGGAUACUCAAUUGGGGAAGCCCAGGGGUUGUGCAAUGGAAGAGGAAUGUUAGCCACCGUUUGAUGCCAUGUAUUCUCCAGCACAAAAGAGAGCUCUCUUUGAAGAUCCAGAAUGCGGAAAGGUCUUUAGGCGGCCGGGCUUAGGGUGUGACGAGAAGGUUGAGAAAGAUAGUCACAUGUUCGAAGAUGAUACUAAAGUCUUCCACAUUUCUGAGGAACACGAUUCGGAUGAGGAUGAG
rnacentral:lncRNA from 1 species